GAUGAACGCUGGCGGCGGGCUUAACACAUGCAAGUCGAACGGAAAGGCCCAAGCUUGCUUGGGUACUCGAGUGGCGAACGGGUGAGUAACACGUGGGUGAGCUGCCCUGCACUUCGGGACAAGCCUGGGAAACUGGUUCUAAUACCGGAUAGGUCGAGGGGUUGGAUGCCAUUGUGGAAAGUUUUUGCGGUGAGGGAUGAGCUCGCUGCCUAUAAGCUUGUUGGUGGGGAAGUGGUCUAACAGGGCGUCGACGGGUAGCCGGCCUGAGAGUGUGGACGGCCGCACUAGACCUGUGCGACGGCCCACACUCGUGAGGGUGGCAGCAGUGGCGAAUAUUGGACACUGGGCGGCCGCCUGAGGCAGCAAGGCCUCGUGAGUGGUGACGGCCUUCGGGUUGUAGGAUCCUUUCUCUGGGGACGAAGCGUUUUUGUAACGGUACCUGGAGAAGAAGCACCGGCUAACUACGUG
rnacentral:rRNA from 1 species